rnacentral:rRNA from 1 species
GACGCUGGCGGCAGGCUUAACACAUGCAAGUCGAACGCACCUUUCGGGGUGAGUGGCAGACGGGUGAGUAACGCGUGGGAACGUGCCCUUCAGUUCGGAAUAACCCAGGGAAACUUGGGCUAAUACCGGAUACGUGCGAGAGCAGAAAGAUUUAUCGCUGAAGGAUCGGCCCGCGUCUGAUUAGCUAGUUGGUGGGGUAAUGGCCCACCAAGGCGACGAUCAGUAGCUGGUCUGAGAGGAUGAUCAGCCACAUUGGGACUGAGACACGGCCCAAACUCCUACGGGAGGCAGCAGUGGGGAAUAUUGGACAAUGGGCGCAAGCCUGAUCCAGCCAUGCCGCGUGAGUGAUGAAGGCCUUAGGGUUGUAAAGCUCUUUCGUCCGGGACGAUAAUGACGGUACCGGAAGAAGAAGCCCCGGCUAACUUCGU